rnacentral:rRNA from 1 species
CAGUGAAAUUGAACUCGCUGUGAAGAUGCAGUGUACCCGCGGCAAGACGGAAAGACCCCGUGAACCUUUACUAUAGCUUGACACUGAACAUUGAGCCUUGAUGUGUAGGAUAGGUGGGAGGCUUUGAAGUGUGGACGCCAGUCUGCAUGGAGCCGACCUUGAAAUACCACCCUUUAAUGUUUGAUGUUCUAACGUGGGCCCCUUACCGGGGUUGCGGACAGUGUCUGGUGGGUAGUUUGACUGGGGCGGUCUCCUCCUAAAGAGUAACGGAGGAGCACGAAGGUUGGCUAAUCCUGGUCGGACAUCAGGAGGUUAGUGCAAUGGCAUAAGCCAGCUUGACUGCGAGCGUGACGGCGCGAGCAGGUGCGAAAGCAGGUCAUAGUGAUCCGGUGGUUCUGAAUGGAAGGGCCAUCGCUCAACGGAUAAAAGGUACUCCGGGGAUAACAGGCUGAUACCGCCCAAGAGUUCAUAUCGACGGCGGUGUUUGGCACCUCGAUGUCGGCUCAUCACAUCCUGGGGCUGAAGUAGGUCCCAAGGGUAUGGCUGUUCGCCAUUUAAAGUGGUACGCGAGCUGGGUUUAGAACGUCGUGAGACAGUUCGGUCCCUAUCUGCCGUGGGCGCUGGAGAACUGAGGGGGGCUGCUCCUAGUACGAGAGGACCGGAGUGGACGCAUCACUGGUGUUCGGGUUGUCAUGCCAAUGGCACUGCCCGGUAGCUAAAUGCGGAAGAGAUAAGUGCUGAAAGCAUCUAAGCACGAAACUUGCCCCGAGAUGAGUUCUCCCUGACUCCUUGAGAGUCCUGAAGGAACGUUGAAGACGACGACGUUGAUAGGCCGGGUGUGUAAGCGCAGCGAUGCGUUGAGCUAACCGGUACUAAUGAACCGUGAGGCUUAACCUU